rnacentral:rRNA from 1 species
GAUGAACGCUGGCGGCGUGCUUAACACAUGCAAGUCGAACGGUGAAGCAGGAGCUUGCUCUUGUGGAUCAGUGGCGAACGGGUGAGUAACACGUGAGCAACCUGCCCCUGACUCUGGGAUAAGCGCUGGAAACGGCGUCUAAUACUGGAUAUGUGAUGUGACCGCAUGGUCUGCAUCUGGAAAGAAUUUCGGUUGGGGAUGGGCUCGCGGCCUAUCAACUUGUUGGUGAGGUAAUGGCUCACCAAGGCGUCGACGGGUAGCCGGCCUGAGAGGGUGACCGGCGCCACUGGGACUGAGACACGGCCCAGACUCCUACGGGAGGCAGCAGUGGGGAAUAUUGCACAAUGGGCGGAAGCCUGAUGCAGCAACGCCGCGUGAGGGAUGACGGCCUUCGGGUUGUAAACCUCUUUUAGCAGGGAAGAAGCGAAAGUGACGGUACCUGCAGAAAAAGCACCGGCUAACUACGUGCCAGCCGCCGCGGUAA